AUUAUUUUUAUCCUUUCCCCUAUUAAUAAUCAAAAGACAAAAAGUCUAUAGCCCAGUCUGUACAAAGGUGGACAUAGGUCCAAAAAGGAACCCGAUCCAAAAAUAAGAAAUAUGAGAAGUUUCCAAAAUAGUACAUAUAUCUACUUCUUGUCCAAGAGUAUUCAGUACUCUUCACUUUGCUUAACCGCCUUCUCUGAGUUAUGUCCCUCUGAGUUGAAGCUGUUGCUUUAUCUCAUACCUCCUAUGGAUUAUCUUCAAGCUGAAUCCCUGUUUAGUGUUAAUAUGGAUCUUUCUAUCAUCUUCACUCACCUCUGUUGGUCGAGGUUUGUAUCCAAGGGACUGAAGUAUCAUGAUGUCAGUGCUCAGAUUUAGCAAACUUUAUAUUGGUGAUAUAUCACCACACUUUAAGGACUCAGUCAAAUCUGGUGUGUUGUGGGAGAAGCUCCAUCUAUCCAUCCUUUUUGGUGAAUUUUAUGGUGUGCAGUGGGAGAGGCUCCAUCUAUCCAUCUUUUUUGGUGAAGUUUUUUGAUAGCUAAAGCAGCUAGCUAGGUUUAGCACAAAUUCUUUGUUGUUUUCCUAACAAACAAUCUUAUAUUUGUGAUUUUCUCGCACUCCAGUGGGAUUGUAAUUAUUGGGAUUCCCUAUGCGAUUUUCUAUGCUAUGUCAAUGCUCCUCCUUUCUAUGCUUGAUUUU